CAGCCGCCGCGGUAAUACGUAGGGUGCGAGCGUUAAUCGGAAUUACUGGGCGUAAAGCGUGCGCAGGCGGUUCGUUAAGACAGAUGUGAAAUCCCCGGGCUUAACCUGGGAACUGCAUUUGUGACUGGCGAGCUAGAGUAUGGCAGAGGGGGGUAGAAUUCCACGUGUAGCAGUGAAACGCGUAGAGAUGUGGAGGAAUACCGAUGGCGAAGGCAGCCCCCUGGGCCAAUACUGACGCUCAUGCACGAAAGCGUGGGGAGCGAACAGGAUUAGAUACCCCCGUAGUCCCUGUCUCUUAUAC
rnacentral:rRNA from 1 species